rnacentral:rRNA from 1 species
UGCAGUGGGUACGGGCAGACUAGAGUGCGGUAGGGGAGAUUGGAAUUCCUGGUGUAGCGGUGGAAUGCGCAGAUAUCAGGAGGAACACCGAUGGCGAAGGCAGAUCUCUGGGCCGUAACUGACGCUGAGGAGCGAAAGGGUGGGGAGCAAACAGGCUUAGAUACCCUGGUAGUCCACCCCGUAAACGUUGGGAACUAGUUGUGGGGUCCAUUCCACGGAUUCCGUGACGCAGCUAACGCAUUAAGUUCCCCGCCUGGGGAGUACGGCCGCAAGGCUAAAACUCAAAGGAAUUGACGGGGACCCGCACAAGCGGCGGAGCAUGCGGAUUAAUUCGAUGCAACGCGAAGAACCUUACCAAGGCUUGACAUACACGAGAACGCUGCAGAAAUGUAGAACUCUUUGGACACUCGUGAACAGGUGGUGCAUGGUUGUCGUCAGCUCGUGUCGUGAGAUGUUGGGUUAAGUCCCGCAACGAGCGCAACCCUCGUUCUAUGUUGCCAGCACGUAAUGGUGGGAACUCAUGGGAUACUGCCGGGGUCAACUCGGAGGAAGGUGGGGAUGACGUCAAAUCAUCAUGCCCCUUAUGUCUUGGGCUUCACGCAUGCUACAAUGGCCGGUACAAAGGGCUGCAAUACCGCGAGGUGGAGCGAAUCCCAAAAAGCCGGUCCCAGUUCGGAUUGAGGUCUGCAACUCGACCUCAUGAAGUCGGAGUCGCUAGUAAUCGCAGAUCAGCAACGCUGCGGUGAAUACGUUCCCGGGUCUUGUACACACCGCCCGUCAAGUCAUGAAAGUCGGUAACACCUGAAGCCGGUGGCCCAACCC